GGUAUGAUUAACUGGCGAACGGGUGAGUACGUGUGGGUAUUUGCCUUCGAGCGGGGGAUAGGCCCGGGAAACCGGGAUUAAUACCGCAUAAAGUCAUAAUACGAUGGUGUUGUGAUGAAAGGUGGGGACCUUCGGGCCCGCCACUUGAAGAUAAGCCCGCAUCUGAUUAGUUAGUUGGUAGGGUAAUGGCCUACCAAGACCGCGAUCAGUAGCUGUUCUAAGAGGAAGAUCAGCCACAUUGGGACUGAGAUACGGCCCAGACUCCUACGGGAGGCAGCAGUGAGGAAUUUUGCGCAAUGGGGGAGACCCUGACGCAGCAACGCCGCGUGACCGAUUGAAGCUUUUAGGAGUGUAAAGGUCUGUCGUGAAGGAAGAAAAAGUCCGAGAAUAAUAAGUUCGGUAAUUGACGGUACUUCACAAGCAAGCUCCGGCUAACUUCGUGCCAGCAGCCGCGGUAAUACGAGGGGAGCAAGCGUUGUCCGAAAUAACUGGGCGUAAAGGGUACGUAGGCUUUUUUGUAUGUUUUCGGUGAAAUCCACAGGCUCAACUUGUGGCUUGCCGGAAAAACUGCAGAGAUUGAAUCCGGAAGGGGAAAGCGGAAUUCCUGGUGUAGCGGUGAAAUGCGUAGAUAUCAGGAGGAACACCAGUGGCGAAGGCGGCUUUCUGGUCCGGAAUUGACGCUGAUGUACUAAAGCGUGGGUAGCAAACAGGAUUAGAUACCCUGGUAGUCCACGCCCUAAACGAUGUAUACUUGAUGUCGGGAUGUUCGGUCGUCUCGGUGUCGUAGCUAACGUGUUAAGUAUACCGCCUGGGGACUACGGUCGCAAGACUGAAACUCAAAGGAAUUGACGGGGGCCCGCACCAGCGGUGGAACAUGUGGUUUAAUUCGAUGCAACGCGAAGAACCUUACCUGGGCUUGACAUAUGUAUGAAGUAUGUAAGAAAUUAUGUAUUCUGUCUGAUUUUUCAGACAGCAUAUAUACAGGUGAUGCAUGGCUGUCGUCAGCUCGUGUCGUGAGAUGU
rnacentral:rRNA from 1 species